GCUGCCCCCUGGUGGUCAGUGUGCUCCCACAGGGGGAGUGCCGCUCAGCCAGAAGCCAGGCUAAUGGCGGGAGAGCACAGCAGCAGUGGCGGGAGCCUCUCCCGCCUCCACGUCAGCACUAAGGAGCAGCAAGCCAAGCAGUAAGGAGCAAUUGGCUAAGAUUCAUCAUCAUAAAAGUAGAUGCAGCAUACAGGGAACUAGAAGGAAAAAUUUCAAGAAAAUGAGUAUGAUACACCUCUGAUUGCAAACACCCAUCACACGGUUCUAAUACAGGUGACUCCGGGCUUAAAACUGCUGAAUUUGUGAUGCUUCCUGCUUGUACACUUCAGUGAAGACAAAGCCCCCUGUUCAUGACCUCGAAUUUCUGCAAGCAAUGCUUUCAGCAUUGCAACUGGCAGCCUGAUGUGCUCACCACAGUUGGUAGGAACUCAGCAACAUCGUCUGUAGAUAUGUUGUUGUAAGCCCCUUCUCUUUGUUCGCUAAACAGAAAACUUAGCUGCUGGCAAGUCACAUGGAAGAAGAUGUUUCAAGUGGGCAACUUAGACUUAACUAGAAAUGUGGACAUAGGACCCUAGGAAUGGAAUCAGCCUCAAUUUGUCAAGGGUCACAGAGACUGGUCUUGUCCAUGGAGGGCUCAGCGGUGAGUGUAACACAGGACCUUAUGAUCCAUGGCUCAGCUCGGUCUGUGGCUUUGCCCCAAGAACCGUACAAAUCGCGAACAGGUCACAACUCUGCAUUUCCUUCUCACUCACCUCUCCAAGCACCUUUGGCCUUCUCCCUCACCUAGCUGAUGCUCAUUUGUUCUGAUGACAGAUUUCCCUUCCACUCUUGGGGGCUGGCCUGGCUCAGUUCACCACAGCUCCCACAUUUCCUGCCCAGAUGCCCUUUCAUGAAUAGCCCCAUUCAUCCCACUCAUGGGAGAAAUUGACCAAUGCCUAGGCGCUGAUUAAUGCAUCUCCAACGCUAGUUUCUUUCCAACAAAGUAACCUGUUUUCCUCCAA